CCGCCGGGCCGCCCGCAACUUGGGGGAGAGCCAGCCCAGCGCCGAGCCGUGCCCGGGAGCGCCCCGCCAGAUAUAUAUGUUAUAUCCGCUAAUGUAACGCAGCUGGAGCAGCCGCUCCCCGCCGGUACCGGGGGAGGGGGGAACGGGCAGCACCCCCCCUUUAUUCCCUCCUCCCCCGGUGAAGAAGCAGAAACUCGAGCGAUUCCGCGGCGCCGAAGUUGCUCGCGGGUGCGGGUCGGUAACCAGACACGCGUGUCGCCCGAGGGCUGGCGGGGAGGAACUGAGCCAGACGGGGACACAAAGGAGGGGGGCAGCCCCAGACACGCCGUCCCCGCCCCGCGGCGGCAGCGCCCGGCACCGCCGAGCCCCGGGCGGGGACGGCGAGAGGGAGACGAGCCCCCGGACCCCCUUUUGUCUGGCCCCGGUGGCACCUGCGGGGGCGAGCGCUCGGCCGCCCCGCCCGCGGACACUAUCGCGACCGGCGACAGCUUAGCGACAGUUGUGGUGGUGGGAGAGGGCUGAGACAGCCCCGGUGUCGGGGGUCUCGUUCUGAGGCCGCGCGGGGCUUGAUUCCAUCAGCCUCACGUUAAUUACCAAAACCACUGAAAAUACAAAAAAACUGCAAUAAAAUGAGCCCCCACGUGCAGUAUUCCUCCAAUUCUUGCUCUGUCAUACCCGAUAUUUUUCUUAUCGUAACUUGUUCUAAAAGAAAUUUAACACAUUUGCUCUCAGACUGUCGGUAGUGAUUAACUGUGACGCUUGCAAUGGACUCUGUAUACAACAUCUAGAAGAAAUCUAACGUCUUUGCCCCUCCAGACCAUCUGCAGUGAUUUACUGUGACGCUCACAAUAGGCUCUGUAUAAGAUAUCUAAAAGAAAUUUGACUUAUUUUCCCCCCAGACCCUCUGCAGUGAUUAGCUGUGACACUUGGGCUCUGUGCACGAUAAAAGGUGGUCAAUGUACACUUAAAAA